GAUUAAAAAUUUCAUUCAUUUCUACUAUUAAAAAUUGGUAUUGCUGACAGAAUAACCAAACAAUUACUUGUGGAGUGCCAUGUGUGCUUCAUUUUGACAUACGACCAAUUUUUAACAGUAAAAAUAGAUAAAAUUUAGAGAA
rfam:Gossypium raimondii Chr06_contig_690, whole genome shotgun sequence.